rnacentral:rRNA from 1 species
UACGAAGGGAGCUAGCGUUGUUCGGAAUUACUGGGCGUAAAGGGCGUGUAGGUGGUUCUAUAAGCAAGAUGUGAAAGCCCCAGGCUUAACCUGGGAAUGGCAUUUUGUACUGUAGGACUUAGAGUGCGAGAGGGGGAAGUGGAAUGGCGAGUGGAGCAGUGAAAUGCGUUGAUAUUCGUUGGAACACCAGAGGCGAAGGCGACUUCCUGGCUCGACACUGACACUAAGGCGCGAAAGCGUGGGGAGCAAA